rnacentral:rRNA from 1 species
UACGGAGGAUGCGAGCGUUAUCCGGAUUUAUUGGGUUUAAAGGGUGCGUAGGCGGCGAGUUAAGUCAGCGGUAAAAGCCCGGGGCUCAACCCCGGCCCGCCGUUGAAACUGGCUGGCUUGAGUUGGGGAAAGGCAGGCGGAAUGCGCGGUGUAGCGGUGAAAUGCAUAGAUAUCAGGAGGAACAUCGGUGGCGUAAGCGCUUUACUGGGCCGUAAUUGACGCUGAGGAACGAAAGCCAGGGUAGCAAAUGGG